AGCUCCAAUAGCGUAUAUUAAAGUUGCUGCAGUUAAAAAGCUCGUAGUUGGAUUUGUGGCGCGGCCGUCCGGCGGGGGUCCUUCUAUGGUCUCGUUUGUCCUGGUUUUCGGCCGCUCCUUUCUCGGGUAGAGCGUAAUGGCUGGCAUUAGGUUGUCGGCCGCUUCGCGCCCGUCGUUUACUGUGAAAAAAUUAGAGUGUUCAAAGCAGGCUUUCGCUUGAAUACAUUAGCAUGGAAUAACAUGAUAGGACUCCGAUCCCAUUGUGUUGGUCUUCGGGACUGGAGUAAUGAUUAAGAGGGACAGUUGGGGGCAUUCGUAUUUCAUUGUCAGAGGUGAAAUUCUUGGAUUUAUGAAAGACGAACUUCUGCGAAAGCAUUUGCCAAGGAUGUUUUCAUUAAUC
rnacentral:rRNA from 1 species